AAGAAGCACCUGAAGUGUGUUGCAGUGCCGAAGCACUGAUGCUCAACAAACUAACAGGUGUAUUUGCACUUCGUCCAUCGACAGAUCCCCACAAGCUUAGGGAAUGUCUUCCCCUGAUCGUCUUCUCGGAAUAAACUCAAGUACGCGUUGACUGGAGAUGAGGUAAAGAAGAUACGUAUGCAGUGCUUCAUCAAAAUUGAUGGCAAGGUUCGAGUGGCUACCACAUACCCUGCUGGAUUUAUGGAUGUCAUUGGUAUUGAGAAGAUAGGGGAGCAUUUCUGCCUCGUCUAUGACACCAAGGGCUGUUUUGCUGUUUACUGCAUCCCAGUGGAAGAGGCAAAGUACAACCUGUGCAAAGGGAGGAAGAGCACUGUGGGGAUGAAAGGAAUCCCACACCUGGUGACUCAUGAUACUGGGACCAUCCACUACCCAGAUCCUCUCAUCAAGGUGAACCAUGCUGUGAAGAUUGAUUUAGGGACUGGCAAGAUAAUCAACUUUAUCAAAUUCCACACAGGCAAUGUCUGUAUGGUGAUUGGUGGAGCCAGCAUCAGUCAUGUUGGUGUGACCACCAACAGGGAAAGACAUCCUGGAUCGCUCAGUGUGCAUGUGAGGGACGCCAGUGGCAACAGCUUUGCCACGAGGCUGUCCAACAUUUUUGUCAUUGGCAAUGGCAGUAAACCUUGGAUUUCCCUGCCCAGGAGAAAGGGCAUCCGACUUACUAUUGCUGAAGAGAGAGAAGAGGCUAGCCACCAAACAGCGGUGGCUAAAUUGCAGUAGCAGCAUACCUUUUUUUUUCCCCCCCACCCUCAAAUAGUGAAUUCUUGUUUCU